rnacentral:rRNA from 1 species
UACAGAGGUCCCAAGCGUUGUUCGGAUUCACUGGGCGUAAAGGGUGCGUAGGCGGUUGGGUAAGUCUGUCGUGAAAUCUCCGAGCCUAACUCGGAAACUGCGUCAGAUACUAUUCAACUUGAGGAAUGGAGGGGAGACUGGAAUUCUCGGUGUAGCAGUGAAAUGCGUAGAUAUCGAGAGGAACACCAGUGGCGAAGGCGAGUCUCUGGACAUUUCCUGACGCUGAGGCACGAAAGCCAGGGGAGCAAACGGG